rnacentral:rRNA from 1 species
UAAUGCAUUACUGUGUUAAAUGCCGAAUCCCCUGAAUCAUUGAGUCUUUGAACGCAGUUGCGCCCGAGGCCUCGGCCGAGGGCACGUCUGCUUGGGCGUC